AAUCUUAUAAGACUGGUUCUCAACCUGUGUAACCUCAGGACCCACAUUGGACCUUGGUCAUUAGGUUGAGACCCAAGUUACACUGCAAUGGAACUCACGGCAUUGCAG